GACGAACGCUGGCGGCGUGCUUAACACAUGCAAGUCGAACGGAAAGGCCCUGCUUUUGUGGGGUGCUCGAGUGGCGAACGGGUGAGUAACACGUGAGUAACCUGCCCUUGACUUUGGGAUAACUUCAGGAAACGGGGGCUAAUACCGGAUAGGAGCUCCUGCUGCAUGGUGGGGGUUGGAAAGUUUCGGCGGUUGGGGAUGGACUCGCGGCUUAUCAGCUUGUUGGUGGGGUAGUGGCUUACCAAGGCUUUGACGGGUAGCCGGCCUGGGAGGGUGACCGGCCACAUUGGGACUAAGAUACGGACCAGACUGCUACGGGAGGCAGCGGUGGGGAAUAUUGCACAAUGAGCGGAAGCCUGAUGCAGCAACGCCGCGUGCGGGAUGACGGCCUUCGGGUUGUAAACCGCUUUCGCCUGUGACGAAGCGUGAGUGACGGUAAUGGGUAAAGAAGCACCGGCUAACUACGUG
rnacentral:rRNA from 1 species